rnacentral:tRNA from 1 species
UCAAUGAUAACUUAUAUAAAGUAUUAUCUUGAAAAGAUAAAUAAGAUUAAUAAUCUCAUAGAA